rnacentral:rRNA from 1 species
GACGGACGCUGGCGGCGUGCUUAACACAUGCCAGUCGAACGGAAAGGCCCCAGCUUGCUGGGGUACUCGAGUGGCGAACGGGUGAGUAACACGUGGGUGAUCUGCCCUGCACUCUGGGAUAAGCCUGGGAAACUGGGUCUAAUACCGGAUAGGACCGUGCGCUAGUGUGUGCGGUGGAAAGUUUUUCGGUGCAGGAUGAGCCCGCGGCCUAUCAGCUUGUUGGUGGGGUAAUGGCCUACCAAGGCGGCGACGGGUAGCCGGCCUGAGAGGGUGUACGGCCACAUUGGGACUGAGACACGGCCCAGACUCCUACGGGAGGCAGCAGUGGGGAAUAUUGCACAAUGGGCGGAAGCCUGAUGCAGCGACGCCGCGUGGGGGAUGACGGCCUUCGGGUUGUAAACCGCUUUCGGCAGGGACGAAGCGUUUGUGACGGUACCUGCAUAAGAAGCACCGGCUAACUACGUG